rnacentral:rRNA from 1 species
CAAACAUAAUCGACAUGAAAACCCAGCUUCCCAUCGGUUCCAUAUCAGCAAUGUCAGGUGCUGUUAAACUCUCUCUUUUUCUUUUCAUCUUUCCCUCACAGUACUUGUUGCAUAUAUAUGAAGCUUUAGGUGGAAUUGUACCAGUGCUUUGCUCUGCUAUUUAUGAAUACAAUCGUCAUUCAUCAUCUUCAUUCUUAAGAAUGCAGUUUACGAAAUACAGCCAAACAAUAUGUACGUCACAUGGAUGAAAACAAAGUCACAUGAAUGAAAACAAAAUCGAAACAUGGAAAGUAAGAAAUGAUUCAUUUUGAGGAACAAUUUCUUCCUUUCUUAUCUCAGUUAUUCGAAUCUUACUC